GGACUUUCCUGGUAAAAUCCCAAAUCCAUGGACUUGAGUUUGCAGGAGCAAGAGGCACAACACUGCUAACAUACUGUUCCCGAAGAUGGAUACACAUUUUAUAGAGUCGGAGCCAUGGAUGGUCGGAGCCUUCAGUCAGAAGCAGGAAGAGGACGAGGAACAGCGGCGACAAACAUAUGGUAACUGCAGCCUUACUGAUCCACACAUUUCUUAGAUUGUCUGUUGACGCUCUGUUCACACCUGCUGUUAACAUCUGCUGUUAACAUCCGACCCGACUGAUCCGAUCACAGGUGCUCAGAUUACAUCUACUGCUGCUGCUAAUGUGACGUCACGAGUCCACAUGUAACGAUCAUCGUCUGAACAUGCAUGUGUGUGUUGUUAACGAAACUGUCACAAUUCACUGUUUUCAAAAGCGAAUUUAGUAUUUGUCAAAAAUGUCUUCAUACUGUCAUAAAUGUCCUAGUAUAUUAUGUCAACAACUGUCAAAAAUGUCUUAGUAUGGUAUGUCAACAAAAAUGUCGAAACCUAAACUGUCAAACUUUUUCUUACUUUUGUAUGUCAUCCAAAAAUGUCCGAAUACAAACUGUUAAAAAUGUCUUAGUAUAUAGUAUGUGGUCCAAAAUCACUGAAAAAAAGUCAUAUUAUAUUAUCUCGUCCGAAAUCGCUUAAAAGAGUCAUACUAUAGUAUGUCGUCCAAAAUCACUUUAGAAAGUCAUAGUAUAGUAUAGUAUGUUGUCCAAAAUCCCUUUAGAAAGUCAUAGUAUAGUAUGUUGUCCAAAAUCACUUUAGAAAGUCAUAGUAUAGUAUGUGGUCCAAAAUCACUUUAGAAAGUCAUAGCAUAGUAUGUUGUCCAAAAUCACUUUAGAAAGUCAUAGCAUAGUAUGUUGUCCAAAAUCACUUUAGAAAGUCAUAGUAUAGUAUGUUGUCCAAAAUCACUUUAGAAAGUCAUAGUAUAGAAUGUUAUCCAAAAUCACUUUAGAAAGUCAUGCUUUAUAGUAUGUUAUCCAAAAUCACUUAAAAAGUCAAGGUUUGUCGGACUUCAGGUACGAUAUAAAAGUGUCUGUGUUGAUAUGGACUGAUAAAAAUAAAAAGGUUUUUACAUA